GCCUGGCGUCCCCUGCUGGCAUCUACAGCCAUGCCAUUCUGAUCCCUGAAGAUAAGCAGAGUCGGGCCUGGUCAGUACUUGAAUGGGUGACCACCUGGGAAUAUCAGGUAGGCU
rnacentral:rRNA from 1 species